AUGCGCACAAUCUAACGCUGACGGAAUAAAUGUACGGAACGCACAAGAAAUAAACAAUAAUCCUAUUUAUUUAGCUGGGUUAUCUCCUCUUCGUAAACACAGUGCUGAACUGCAGCUUAGUAGGGUAACACUGCUGAAGGAUUGAGAGGUCGCCAGCUGUCCUUGGGUCUCAACUUUGAUUUAAUGCCCUUGUGAUAUAAUGGCAUGCAGCCUAGUUAGACAGUAAGGCACAGAUGCAGCGUUUAAACUGUCAGCCUGAGGACUCGCUGCACGUGGGUGAGCUCAAGUGCGACUGUGUUCGACGGCAGUACCAGAGAGAAAAACGUAUUUAAUUCCUACUUUGUUCCACUCCAUCCAGUCCCGACCGUGAGAUGACUUUGCAACCUACUUUGGACGGAGUGUAGCACAGUGGGUAAGGAACUGGACUUGUAACCGAAAGGUCGCAGGUUCGAUUCCCGGGUAGGACACUGCCGUUGUACCCUUGAGCAAGGUACUUAACCGAAAUUGCUUCAGUAUAUAUCCAGCUGUAUAAAUGGAUACAAUGUAAAAUGCUAUGUAAAAAAGUUGUGUAAGUCGCUCUGGAUAAGAGCGUCUGCUAAAUGCCUGUAAUGUAAUGUACUUUGACAUGGAAGUAGCAGACAUCUACAGUUCCUUCACACAAUCUCCAGCAUGGUCUUCGACUCUCUAUCUACUAGAUGAGCUGACACCUGCAGCUUAAUCUGGCCAAGACUGAGCUGCUGUACAUCCUAUCCCACAUGUUUUCAAUAUGGAAAAUACUUACUUUGAGUACAAGGGUCAUUAAGGUCAUUCUAAAUGAGGAUCAUAAUGCAGGUAAACAGCAACGACACCGAGUACGACUGGAAAUUAGAUUAAAAUGGCCUCUUUUGAUGUACAAGGUCUUAAUUAUCCUAUUAGUAGAAGGAAGGUUGAUGAUUUUCUGAAGAACUGCUCAAUUACAUUUCUGCAGGAAACUGAAUUUAAUGAUGAAGAACAUCAAUGUGACAACUGAAAUAUUUUGUCAGACUAUUCUCCUUUGUUCUUUACUCUUAAACUGUCUACUCCUCUAAAAAAAAUAAAAUAAAAAAGCCCCAAAAUGGAGGCUGAAUACAUCCCUCCUGGCUAACCCUACCACAAUUGCAACAUUUCAGAAUCUCAUUAAAGAGAGUAUACAAUUGAACAACACCCCUGGAAUUUCUGCCUCUACGUUUUGGGAUAUGGCUGUGACAGAGGUUAGGCCUGGAAGCAAAGCCAAAGCGGUAGCUUCCUACUGCUGUUGGCUAUCUUCUGGUGACUGAAGAAUGUUGGAUAUACACACUCAUACACCCCUGUGUCAUACCCGCUACUCCAACAAAGAUUGUAUAUGCAUAUAUGUACAAAAAAAACAAGAUGGAGCCUUGCGAUGGCUUCUCAAAAUAAUGGUCCACAAUUGUUUGGGCAGCAAACGAAAGUUCAAAAAAAAUCUCCCACCAUCCAGCUUUGCAACACCACCAUUUUACUUUCUCGCGAGCUACCCUUUAUCCCCCAGGAAAGGGACUGUCCAUGCUAUGUCAUUAACUGACUGUAGCGUGCCAAAAAAAUUUAAUAGAAUUGUAGUUCUACAAUCCUGUCCUGACAUAGGGAAGAAUAAUAAUAACUGUAAAGCUCUAAGGUACCAAGUGAUUAAUUUGAAUAAAUAUAUAGGAAAGUCAAGUGUAAGCUGUGAAAAGAUCUAUUAAUCUUAUAUACAAAACAUUUACGGUUUAAGAAAAGAUAUUAGAUCAAAAACCAGCAUUUUCACAAAACACCUAUGAUUUGUAGGAAAUAUUUCUGUGCUGAUGAACACUGAUCAUUUAAAACUAAGUACAGUACUCUGGCAGCAUUGAUGCAAUAUACAGAUCCAAUUGGAGUAGCUUCCCAAAAGACUAGAAGAAGAGGCUGAAAAGAAAAUAAAUAUCAUGGUACCUGUGCACUUUUUUUUCUACAAUUGUUAAUCAAACCUGUGUGUGUAUGCACACAUGCAUGCGGUUGUGUUUAUUUGUUUUGAUAUGUGCUCGGCGCUGACCAUAAUAUCUUUAACAACUCAAAGUUAUUGAAUUUCUUUUUAUUAAUUAUAAUACAUCACAAAUGUAAACAGAUUUGUUUGGCAUCACACAAUUGUUUUCACUUUUCUUUCUCUCAUGCUCACCCAUGUUUGAAAUCAUGCCACUGUAGCACUUUCAUCAUCACAUGAACGGUUUGUUCAUACAAAGGCAGUACAUUUGUGGAACCACAUAAAACACACCAUCUGCAGAACCUCAGUACAGUGAUUUUUUAAAGAUUCAAGAGGUUGUUUAAAAAUAAGCAAAAAGUAAUGCAUUUAAUUUGAUGUUGGUAAAAUUUCUUGUAUAAGAGAAAUAUUGUGCUCCACAUAAUAUAUCGUAUAAUCACUUAUCUAUUGGAAGAAUGGAAUAGUUUUUCAGUCUUUUACAAUGUUUUGUUUUUGACGUGGUUCUAAGAGUGACCAUAUCCAAGCUAUGUUUCCUAGUGACAGGGUUAUCUGACCUUUUAAGCUCUUAUAAGUGCAGAUUG